UAGUCCACACUGUAAACGAUGAGAGCUAGUUGUCUGCAUGCAUGCAUGUAGGUGACGCAGCUAACGCAUUAAGCUCUCCGCCUGGGGAGUACGGUCGCAAGGCUAAAACUCAAAGGAAUUGACGGGGGCUCACACAAGCGGUGGAGCAUGUGGUUUAAUUCGAAGCAACGCGAAGAACCUUACCCGGGUUUGAAAUCCAUGGAUGCUGCCUCUGAAAGGAGGAUUUGCUGCCCUUCGGGGUGAAACGUGGACAGGUGUUGCAUGGCUGUCGUCAGCUCGUGUCGCGAGAUGUCGGGUUAAGUCCCUCAACGAGCGAAACCCUUAUCUUUAGUUGCCAGCGGUUCGGCCGGGGACUCUAGAGAGACUGCCGUUGUUAAAACGGAGGAAGGUGGGGGAUGACGUCAAGUCAUCAUGGGCC
rnacentral:rRNA from 1 species